UCUCACUCUCUGACAAGGUUUUGCUAAGUUGCCAAGGCUCACGAUUCUCCUGCCUCAGCCUCUGAGUAGCUGGGAUUACAGGUGUGGUUCCUGCAUCUGGAUGUUUUUGUUGAGUGCUAUUAGUUAUUAUUAAAUUUCAGACACCAGUCCUCCCUCCCUCCCUCCCUCCCUCCCUCCCUUCCUUUCUUCCCUGCCUUCCUGCUUUCUUCCCUUCCUGUGAUUCCUUUUCUAUGUCGGCCUCACUGGCUUAGACAGUGGUCGGAGAGCUGAGAAAACAUCACUUCUGGAUGUUUCUGAAGCGAUGUUUCCGGGAGAAACCAACAUUUGACUGAGAAGACUGAGGAGAGAAGUUGGCCUGUACGAGGCAUCUGAUCCGCCCAGGACUGGAUUGGAACACAAAGGCGGCGGAAGGCAAAGCUGACCUCAGCCGAGCUGUGGCGCCUCUUCUCCCGCCACUGGCGCUGGGCUCCUGGUCCUUGGCCUCUGUGUGCGCUGGACCCAGCCUGCUGUGUGCGCUGGACACAGCCUGCUGCCUUUCCUGGGCUCUGCUUGCAGGUCGUGAGUACUGUGGGAGAUCUCGAUGUGAAGUCCGGCUCUUCCCAUUUCGGACAUGUCUCCUGAAUUUGAGUCUUUCCAUUCCCACUGGCACUGGCGUGGGUAGGACUUCACCAGCUCUUACCUGGGUAGUUACACCCUCUGAUUCACCUUGUCCUCAUCUUUUCAACUCAUUCUCCUCAUAGGACCACAGGUAUCUCGGAUGUCUUAGGGGUCUUGGGCCGUAGGGGCUGUGGCUGAGCAGACACACGGAUAUUUUCCCUACCCAAGGUUUAUGUGUGUUCGUUGCUUUGUAUAGGGUGGGGGAAAUUCCCACAAGGAAAAGUGUGGGAUUUUAUCCAGCCUUGGGAUAUACAAAUGCAUUGGAUUUAAUGGAAGAGGUUUGUACAUAAACCAGAAACUAGAUUGUAGGUGGGACAAUGGGUCCCUCUCUCUCUC
rnacentral:lncRNA from 1 species